rnacentral:lncRNA from 1 species
UAAUAUGCUAUUCUUUGUCAGGUUAGGAACACUCCAUUAUGAUGGGAGAUGCUCCGAGGAUGUCACGGAGCAUGUCUGGUGUUUUCAAUGCACAGAAAAACACAUCAGAGAGAUCAGCAACACCCACGUUGCCACCAAGAACUAAGGUCGAAUGGCUGCUGAAUGCCUUUGGAACAGGAGCUAUGAAUCACCCCGCCUCCAGGGCUAGGAAGGAGAGUGAAGAAACUUCACAGAGCUAGCACUACCGCACUACCGAGGAGCCUGUCCUCUGAGUUAUCAUGCAUGAGAGACGCAACCCGCAUCAAGAUCGCCCCCAUAUCAGUUCCCUUUUGCUGUUUCUGUUUUUCUGUUGAUCAGUUCUGAGUUCACCACAAUAAAAAUCUUUGAAGGGCUGAAUGCUUUUGAGACAAAUUCCCUCACCGGUACAGGCUGUGAAUAGGAUGAAAAAGGAUGACAGCGGAAGAACGAAUCAUAAAGCUGACCCUAAUUGAAGGAAAACAAAAAUCUAAGGAGAUGCCUAUCCCCUGAAAAGGCAAAGUGGAGGGGCGGGGGAAGAAACCCGGGAAAUCUAUUGACUUAAAAUGACAAGAGUGGGGAAAACAGGCUCCAUCAUCAUUUUAUAGCUCUGUCUAUUGUCUAAAACCAAAAGGAGCCCUUUCAUUCCCAUGUUCAUGCGUGCACAAAACUAUGUAUUAAACACCUCCGGUCUGCGAGGCCGUGUUGGGUGUCUUUGUCAGGUGAAGAAAGAGAAGAAGGCUGGUACACCUUCCCAGGAAUUCUCACUGAAGAAAACAUCUGGAUUUUUUACAUCUCUUGUGCAAAACAAACAAAGAUUUCAUUAAGUGAUGUAUAUUGUUUUCCAAGGAAGAAACCUGCAGAGACAAAAACAAAUAAGCAAAUAAUUGAAACAAAAAUAUGAUAAACAAAACCCCCAAAUUCUUCCAGUGCUAAUUUACUUGUUAUCAUGGUUCUCUACAAAGGCAGAGAUCACUAAUUACAGGUUUUUCCAGAAUUCACAUUUCACGUCAAGAUCAUCCAAUCCAAACAGUGUACGGAAAGCCUAGGGCCUUCUUCACUUUGCCCCCUACCCCACCCUACACACACGCCCCCAUCUAAAUGAUACCCUUGGAAAGAAACCUACACAUCUCAUUUGUCUAUAUUUUGCUUCCUCCCUCGCCUCCCGGUAACCAAAUGUGAGUUGUUCUCUAACUGCA